GUAGGCUGCAACUCGCCUACACGAAGCUGGAAUCGCUAGUAAUCGCGGAUCAGCACGCCGCGGUGAAUACGUUCCCGGGCCUUGUACACACCGCCCGUCACACCAUGAGAGUCUGUAACACCCAAAGCGGUGGGAUAACCUUUAUAGGAGUCAGCCGUCUAAGGUAGGACAGAUGAUUAGGGUGAAGUCGUAACAAGGUAAC
rnacentral:rRNA from 1 species